AUAUGGCAGCGCGUCUGUAACUGACACCCCUCUGUCACUUCAUUUGUAUUUAAUUGUUUUACGCCACCUACGAACAACUUGUCGGUAGGUAGGCGGCCGAGAGGCCACGGAGCCGUGGGUAGCUCUCCCUCCGUAUUGACCCCCCACGGAAGGCAAUUGAACCGCAACGGCUAACGGCUAACGGCUGCGGCUGCCACCGCGCGCCGCACGUGACCGAGCGGGGUCAAAAGGGGAGGAGCGACGUCGUCGCGUGCGCUGUACGCUGGAACACCGAGUUCUGCUCGACGUAGCUAGGCAGCGGUAACGGCUACACCAAGUGGGGGCGGGGGGGUGGACUAAGUCACCGACACGCAACAGACGGCACGCGUCGACCCGGCUCUGAAGCCCGGAACGUCAGCACCCCUCCAGCGGCGUUGGAACAGGACACGGUCGAGUUCCGCUUACUAUUGUGUGUUUUUUCCGCUGUUCCUAGCUCGUUAACUGACGUUAGCGGCUUCACUUUUGUCCGUCGAAGCUCCAGCGUUUGCCAAAUCGAGUUGGCGCGCGAGUUUAACGUAACGAGCCGAACCGCAUUCUCCUCUUAUUAACUAACGCUACAUGUAUCAAGUUUGUUAUUAAGGUUAACCUUUUAUAUAUUUAUGUUUAGACCAAUUAACGUAACUACAGUACCGGUGUGUUGGCGACGUUACUUUGACAGUAUGUAUGGUAGCAAUGGCGUCGGGUGUUUUUAGUCAGUUGAGUUGAUGGAACACAAUGAAUGGAUGGUAAAAAACUAAUAUUAUCUUUAUUAUAUAACGUUACAUAAUGACCUAAUACUAGCCUUUAUUUUAAAGCAUCUUUGAGUGUCUAGAAAAAUAUUAUUAUCAUUAUUAUUAUGUUUUUGUCAUUGUACUAACCUGUAACUGUCCAUUAAAGGCAGAAAAGUCUAACGUCAAUGCAACUUGUAAAACCAGGAAGUGGCAGUUAUUUUACACCAAUACAUUGAAAUAACUUAAAGAUAUGAUAUGAUGUAUACCUUUAUUCGUCCCACAGUGGGGACAUUUAAAAAAUCACAGCAGCGGUGCACAUCAGAGCAUUAAUAAAAAAUAAUUAUAAAACACAAAACUAAAUACAAAAACUAAAUACUAAUACUAAAUAUACAGGGGGAAAACAAAGUAAAGUGCUGAGUUUGCCAGGAUCUCCAGCGAUCUACUACAGUUUGUUGUGCAGCCUGACAGCAGCAGGAAAUAUAUAUAUUAUAUAUAAAAUAUAUUUAAUAUGCUGCCCACCUACAGCAGGAAAGGAGAUGAGCGCCAAGAGGAAGGCGGAUAGUCACUUGAGAGUGGCAAACAGACCGCGCCUCAUGAAGUUUGGGGGCACCCGGGCUGAUUCAGAGAGAGACUCUGGAUUCUCAGAUGCAAGCUCGGAGCACAUGAGCACAAUGGACAACACGGACUCUGAGGGUUCCCCCCGCCGCCGCGUCGUACGCAAGGCGCCGCAGACCUCUGGCUCGGUACCCCAAUCCUCUCAGCUGGCUGUGGUGGGAGGCUCCUACUCGAGCCUUUCUCCCAUGAUCAUCAUGAACAACGUCCUCCUCGAGCAGCCUCGGGAUAAUUCUCCCGCUCUGACGCCGUGGCACUUCAGCCCCGCGGUGGAGGUCGUCCAGCCCGCGGUCCAGCAGCCUCAGGUGGUCUUCCUUCAGCCCGUGGUCUCUCGUCAAGCUUCCCCGGCCUCCAAAGACGCCUCCUCCAGACACCGGCGCCCCAAGAAGUUUCUUCCGAUCCUGAAAUCCUACCCCAAGAUCGCUCCGCACCCCGGAGACGCCUCCAGUUCCUCGGGGAGAGGAACCGCUUCCUCUUCUUUCUCGUCUUCGUUUCACUCCUCCUCCUCUUCUUCUGGGUCAGAGAGGAGGAGCGGUCUGACCUCCAACAACCAUGAGCACUGUCAAAGAGAGAAGCAUCAGAGACACCUGAGUGGUGGUGCUCGUGACUCUGCCUCCACCACCCCCAGUGUCCCCGCUCCACCCAGCACCACUUCGCCUCCGCUCCAGAGCCGACUUCCUCUCCCCGCCACAGGAACCGGCGCCGGCAGCAGCCCUGCCACUGAGAGGCCUCCGUCUGUCGUUCACCAGGCAGAGAUUUACACCUCCCCGUCUGUCGCCGAAGCCGCAGGCCGCGUUCUCCGGACGGUCACCCGGGAGAUCGGCUCGUCGGAAGACCGUCCAAACGGCGAGGGUGGCGUGGACGCCAAGAGGAAGCGCUUCUGCAACACGUACAACAUCCUGAGCAAAUCCGGCCUGCUGGACAUCGCGCUGCGCACCAAAGAGCUGCACCGGCAGAACCGGCGCUCCCAGAGCGACCUGAACCGGCUCAAAGAACACACAGACCUGUUCCUCCGGGCUCUGUGCAGCGGGGACGCCGCCGUCUGGGUGAAGCUGCAGGCCGACCUGCAGGAGGAGGACCGAGAGGGCGGCUCAAACCGGUUUAAAGACAGAUUAGACCUGGACUAGCGCUCGCAGUAAUCCUCUCGAGGGCCGUGGUUUGGGGGUCGGGGGGGUCGGAGUGUACAGAAGCGAAUGGACCGAAAGUAAUGUGCUUCGCCAUCUCCCCCCCCCCCCCCCCCCGACUCUCUCCCCCCCGGCGGUGUUCUGUGGCCUACAUGUUGGCCGCCUGAGGGUCCUGACACACCAAGCCUCAAAGAAUUGGUGCAGAUAACGACUUUUUGUCGCUUAAAAGUCGCACUCGAGCUCGUCCGAAACCUCGUGGAAAGAGAAACGCCAUUUGGCUAAAGGGUUUGUUGAAAAGGCUCAGAAUUCGUAAUGCUCCAAUUAGGAAUCGAGAAUAUCAAAAAGGACGCGGAGCGUGCUCUCUUGAAUCAACACGUCGCUUUUAUGUUCCCCGUGGUCGGCCAGCGGUCUUCAGCUUGUGAGAAAAGAAACCGUUACAAAGAACCUUCAUUGUUCUGUGUUGUGUGACAUUUCUGUUCCCCUCAUCCCGACAUGUCGCUGAACAUCCGUCAGAGUUUGUACAAUUAUUAUGAAUUAUUUAACUCAACAGUUACACAUUUCAAUGUCAAAUUGAAGUGAAUGUUCUCGUGUCACGUAGAACGUGUCUCCGGUUUCUUGCCCAGUCGGCGUCUUUUUAAAUAGACUCGCGUGCCUAAAGUGUCGUUUCUGUUUUGUUGUUAUUGAUGCAUUCGUCAAACUUGAAGUGAAACAUUUGUCUGUUUGCGUUGAGAUCUUCAAGUUGAGCCUCCCAUCAUGUUGAUGGCGCGGUCUGACGGCACAAACCAAGUAAAGCACAUUCUCCAGCA